rnacentral:rRNA from 1 species
GACGUAGGGGGCGAGCGUUGUCCGGAUUUAUUGGGCGUAAAGCGCGCGCAGGCGGUUCGGCAAGUCGGAUGUGAAAAUCCGGGGCUCAACCCCGGACCUGCAUCCGAUACUCUCGGACUGGAGGCAGGUAGGGGAGAGCGGAACUGAUGGUGGAGCGGUGAAAUGCGUUGAUAUCAUCAGGAACACCGGUGGCGAAGGCGGCUUUCUGGGUCUUACCUGACGCUGAGGAACGAAAGCUAGGGGAGCGAACGGG